UACGUAGGUGGCAAGCGUUGUCCGGAUUUAUUGGGUUUAAAGGGUGCGUAGGCGGCCCUGUAAGUCAGUGGUGAAAUACUCCAGCUUAACUGGAGGGGUGCCAUUGAUACUGCAGGGCUUGAGUGGAGUCGAAGUAGGCGGAAUUGACGGUGUAGCGGUGAAAUGCUUAGAUAUCGUCAAGGACACCGAUAGUGAAGACAGCUUACUAGGCUUCUACUGACGCUGAGGCACGAAAGUGUGGGGAUCAAACAGG
rnacentral:rRNA from 1 species